GGCCGGGAACUCAAAGGAGACUGCCAGUGAUAAACUGGAGGAAGGUGGGGAUGACGUCAAGUCAUCAUGGCCCUUACGACCAGGGCUACACACGUGCUACAAUGGCGCAUACAAAGAGAAGCGACCUCGCGAGAGCAAGCGGACCUCAUAAAGUGCGUCGUAGUCCGGAUUGGAGUCUGCAACUCGACUCCAUGAAGUCGGAAUCGCUAGUAAUCGUGGAUCAGAAUGCCACGGUGAAUACGUUCCCGGGCCUUGUACACACCGCCCGUCACACCAUGGGAGUGGGUUGCAAAAGAAGUAGGUAGCUUAACCUUCGGGAGGGCGCUUACCACUUUGUGAUUCAUGACUGGGGUGAAGUCGUAACAAGGUAACCGUAGGGGAACCUGCGGUUGGA
rnacentral:rRNA from 2 species